rnacentral:lncRNA from 1 species
GGACAUGAAAGAAUUCCAGAUUUUGAAGGCUUUUAGGAUCCCUGUACAUUAUAAAUAGGCGGCUCCUAAAAACUUUCAAGUUACUUGGAAACCGACAUCCUGUCAUUGGGUGAAAUGCAACACCGAUGGGGCUGCUAAGGGUGCCCUGGUCCAGCUGGAUGUGGAGGCAUUUUCAGGGACUAUAGGCUGCUUUUAUAGGUGAUUUUUCUUCCAACUUGGGUAUUUCUUUUGUUCUUCAUGCUGAAUUGGUUGGGAUCAUGAUAGCUAUAGAGAUAACUUUUGCUAGAG